GACGAACGCUGGCGGCGUGCCUAAUACAUGCAAGUCGAGCGAAUGGAUUAAGAGCUUGCUCUUAUGAAGUUAGCGGCGGACGGGUGAGUAAUACGUGGGUAACCUGCCCAUAAGACUGGGAUAACUCCGGGAAACCGGGGCUAAUACCGGAUAACAUUUUGAACCGCAUGGUUCGAAAUUGAAAGGCGGCUUCGGCUGUCACUUAUGGAUGGACCCGCGUCGCAUUAGCUAGUUGGUGAGGUAACGGCUCACCAAGGCAACGAUGCGUAGCCGACCUGAGAGGGUGAUCGGCCACACUGGAACUGAGACGCGGCCCAGACUCCUACGGGAGGCAGCAGUAGGGAAUCUUCCGCAAUGGACGAAAGUCUGACGGAGCAACGCCGCGUGAGUGAUGAAGGCUUUCGGGUCGUAAAACUCUGUUGUUAGGGAAGAACAAGUGCUAGUUGAAUAAGCUGGCACCUUGACGGUACCUAACCAGAAAGCCACGGCUAACUACGUGCCAGCAGCCGCCGCAG
rnacentral:rRNA from 1 species